CAUGCAAGUCGAACGCACCGCAAGGUGAGUGGCGCACGGGUGAGUAACACGUGGGAACGUACCUCGAAGUACGGGAUAACUGUUGGAAACGACAGCUAAUACCGUAUACGCCCUUUUGGGGAAAGAUUUAUCGCUUCGAGAUCGGCCCGCGUCCGAUUAGCUUGUUGGUGAGGUAACGGCUCACCAAGGCGACGAUCGGUAGCUGGUCUGAGAGGAUGAUCAGCCACACUGGGACUGAGACACGGCCCAGACUCCUACGGGAGGCAGCAGUGGGGAAUAUUGCGCAAUGGGGGGAACCCUGACGCAGCCAUGCCGCGUGAGUGAUGAAGGCCUUCGGGUUGUAAAGCUCUUUCAGAUGUGACGAUGAUGACGGUAACAUCAGAAGAAGCCCCGGCUAACUUCGUGCCAGCAGCCGCGGUAAUACGAAGGGGGCAAGCGUUGUUCGGAAUUACUGGGCGUAAAGAGCGCGUAGGCGGCCAGAUCAGUCAGGGGUGAAAUCCCGGGGCUCAACCCCGGAACUGCCCUUGAUACUGUCGGGCUAGAAUCCGUGAGAGGGUGGGUGGAAUUCCCAGUGUAGAGGUGAAAU
rnacentral:rRNA from 1 species